ensembl:snRNA Gm22122 predicted gene, 22122
AGCUUUGCGCAGUGGCAGUAUCGUAGCCAAUGAGGUUUAUCCGAGGCGCGAUUAUUGCUAAACUGAAUUAGCUCCUGAGCAGGCCAACUGCCUUCUACAUGAGCCCAAGUCUCGCCCGAGCUAGUAUCUUGCCGGCAAGAAUUCACUCAGAUAACCGGAUCCUUCUACGGCAAAGCUUUUAUUGCUUACUUCUCAGGAAG